AUUGAACGCUGGCGGCAGGCCUAACACAUGCAAGUCGAACGAGUGGCGGACGGGUGAGUAAUGUCUGGGAAACUGCCUGAUGGAGGGGGAUAACUACUGGAAACGGUAGCUAAUACCGCAUACCAUCAGAUGUGCCCAGAUGGGAUUAGCUUGUUGGUGGGGUAGCGGCGCACCAAGGCGACGAUCCCUGGCGGGUCUGAGAGGAUGACCGGCCACACUGGAACGGUGACACGGUCCAGACUCCUACGGGAGGAAGCAGUGGGGAAUAUUGCACAAUGGGCGCAAGCCUGAUACAGCCAUGCCGCGUGUAUGAAGAGGGCCUUCGGGUUGUAAAGUACUUUCAGCUGGGAGGCGUUACCCGCAGAAGAAGCACCGGCUAACUCCGUGCCAGCCGCCGCGGUAAUUC
rnacentral:rRNA from 1 species